UGCCUGCAUUAGCUGUGAGGUGACAGGGCUCCGUGGGCUGACAAAGAGCCUGGGAACUUGGAGCUUCCACAUCAGCCCCAGAAACAGCAGAGACAACCAUAGAAGGCAACGCUUCUCCUCGGCACUGUGUUGGGAGUAAGGAAUGUGGAGUCAUCUCUUCCCUCAGAGAAACACUGACAAGUGUUAGCUCACAGACUUGUGUGCACAAAGAUGGAUCCUCAGAGUUGUCCACUGGAGCACUGUUUGAAGCAGCAAAAGGAACCAAGUCAACUUUCCCUGAGUACGAAAAUGGCUAAAUAAAUGGUAAUUUAUUCAUAGAA
rnacentral:lncRNA from 10 species